rnacentral:rRNA from 1 species
GACGAACGCUGGCGGCGUGCUUAACACAUGCAAGUCGAACGGUGAUGCUCCAGCUUGCUGGAGUGGAUCAGUGGCGAACGGGUGAGUAACACGUGAGCAACCUGCCCCAGACUCUGGAAUAAGCGCUGGAAACGGCGUCUAAUACUGGAUACGAAACUGGCCCGCAUGGGCAUGGUUUGGAAAGUUUUUCGGUUUGGGAUGGGCUCGCGGCCUAUCAGCUUGUUGGUGAGGUAAUGGCUCACCAAGGCGACGACGGGUAGCCGGCCUGAGAGGGCGACCGGCCCCACUGGGACUGAGACACGGCCCAGACUCCUACGGGAGGCAGCAGUGGGGAAUAUUGCACAAUGGGCGAAAGCCUGAUGCAGCGACGCCGCGUGAGGGAUGACGGCCUUCGGGUUGUAAUCCUCUUUCAGCAGGGAAGAAGCGAAAGUGACGGUACCUGCAGAAGAAGCACCGGCUAACUACGUG